GUGGGGAAUAUUGGACAAUGGGGGGAACCCUGAUCCAGCCAUGCCGCGUGUGUGAAGAAGGCCUUUUGGUUGUAAAGCACUUUAAGCGAGGAGGAGGCUACCGAGAUUAAUACUCUUGGAUAGUGGACGUUACUCGCAGAAUAAGCACCGGCUAACUCUGUGCCAGCAGCCGCGGUAAUACAGAGGGUGCAAGCGUUAAUCGGAUUUACUGGGCGUAAAGCGCGCGUAGGUGGCCAAUUAAGUCAAAUGUGGAAUCCCCGAGCUUAACUGGGGAAUUGCAUUCGAUAGUGGUUGGCUAGAGUAUGGGAGAGGAUGGUAGAAUUCCAGGUGUAGCGGUGAAAUGCGUAGAGAUCUGGAGGAAUACCGAUGGCGAAGGCAGCCAUCUGGCCUAAUACUGACACUGAGGUGCGAAAGCAUGGGGAGCAAACAGGAUUAGAUACCCCGGUAGUCC
rnacentral:rRNA from 1 species